UGGUAAUAUAACAGGUUUGUGUGCACAUACAGAUCCACAUGAGCAAACACUCACAUUCCACUCACUACAAGAAAUACAGAAGAUACUAAUAUUUUUAAUAUCUGCAUUGUUUCAUUCUAAUUCUGUCAUUAUCUCAUUAACUCAUCUGUCUCUCUGUAAAUUCUUAAUAGAAAACAUUUUUCUGAAUUUUCCAUUUAGCCUGGAGUGCACAUAUCUGAAAGAACAGCUUUCCCAAUAAUGAUAUUAAGAAAUGCCUCUGGCAUUGCAAUAAAUUCCAAAGUUUGUGAAAAUCUGAAGGAUAUGCUGUGACAAGCAUACAGUGAAGUUCUAGCUGAUACUGUAACUAUCCGGGUUCCCAGCAAAGAAGAAAAUAAAUCCCAUAAUACUGCAUAUUUGAAAGUUUUCUAAUUUUAUUGUUGUUUAAAGUAUAAAUACUUCACAUGAAUCCUAAUCCACUGUAGCAGGCAAGCUCAUGCUCACUUUAAGCAGGUUAGCAUUCCAGUUCAGCUCAAGGGGAUGAGCAUGCUACUCCAGUGAUUUGUUUGAUCAUUGUCUAAAUUAAAAAUUCACAACGGCACAAAGAGAAGUUGUUAUAUUUCCACAUUGUUUGCAAUAGUCAGCCUAUCCCUCAAGGGUAUCCUUCUUACAUGUGUGGGCAUAUGAAGAAACCACUUGCCAAGUGUUUUACUAUUGCAGGAUGAAGACAUUUAAACCAAACCUUUCAAGCAGUCGAUGGAACACAAUCUGAAAGAUUAAAGAAAAUCCAGAUGGGGUGCAGAUGCUGCAAAAUGAUACAAAGCUACAUUUUUGAUCCAGAAGAAGUACAAUCACCUGGAUGCGUUCAUGAAGUAAGCAGCUAUAAACACAAUGAGCAAGGCAGCAAUAAAUCCAAAGAGAACAGUGAAAUUCAAGAACAUAAAAAUGAACUCCAGAAGGAUGAGCUGAAUGGAACAGAAAAUAAAAGUCAGAUAAAUAGCAGAAAAGAAACUCUCUGGAACCAUGGAGGCAAUGAUUUUCAAGAGGAAGGCCUUUUGAAGUGUGUUGCAAAGCUUGAUGUUGCAGUCAAUGGUGGCACCUCCUGUGCUGGAGUGCACCCUGUGCUCAACCCCAACACAAACCCAGUGAAAGAGGCCAGUGAACAGGAAACCUCUAGCCAGUCAGAGGCUUCUUCAGCCAGUAGAGACUUUUACACCGGAUCAAAUAGGUCUGGACAAGAACUUGACCUAGAGGUGGGCUGGCAGAGGAAGGCAACAUGCAAUGAGCCAAACAGUAUUCAAGAUGAGAACUCCCAGUCUGCAGAGGACAUCAUCUUUCUUAAAGGAAGUGCAAUACUGGAGACACAAAACAAUGCCAUACAACUGCCAGAUAUUAAUUACCCCCAAACCAGGAACUAUGUUGAAAAAGACAGCUUUUUAGUCAAUUAUGCACACUCAGACCAAAACACUGGGCCUUCAGCAGUGCAGGACCAGGACCUUUGUGUGACCCCACCUCCACCUAUGAAGGAGAGCAGUAUUGGACCUUUUAAAACUGACUCCAGAAGUUUGAGUGCGGGCAUUAUGGGUGGUAUCACUGCCGUGGCUGUUACCAGAGUAGCACAGGAACCCACACACCCCAACCAUAAAGACAUCAAUGGAGAAAUGGAGGAGGAAGAUGCAGAAGUUGCAGCAGCUCUGGCUGCACUGGAAGCUGCAACUGCAGGGGAAGACCUGCAUGAUGACGACGAGUACUAGAUGAAGGUUUAUUUCUCAUACACUGGGUAAGAUCCAGAUUUUAUUUCUGGAUCUAUGUAUUACAUGUUUAGCACAUGUGGACAGUUGUUAUGAACAGGACAUAUAAAAGGAGUUUGGACUAAACCUCUGUCCCUUCAGCUGUUUUGUACAGCUUUUAAUUUGUACUGCCUGCGGUACAGAAGCACUCCCUUGGCUAAUGGCAGUACUAACACUUUUAUAUGGUACCAGCUGGGGGGCAGAGUGGCAUUUCUUUCGCACAGGAUAUUCUGCUGUAUACCCACCUCACCUGGACUCAUGCAAAACCCUUUGGUUUUGACCUUCAGGAGGGUCUGUGCAUACUGCAUGUUCCAGGUUCAGAAGAAUUCCAUUAUUUAAAACAGAAUUAUAGAAGACAUGGAGUUAGAAACCACAGAUUUUCAUCUUGUUAGCGC